CUCUUAGGCAAAUCCGGGAUCACUUACGCCGAGCACCGAGACGAGUCCUAUGAGGACGAAGUGACUGACACCACGCUUCCAGGAAAAGCCACUAAGCUUCAGCUUAAGAAAAACCGUACCGCAAACCGACACAGGUAGGCAGGGUGAGAAUCCCAAGGCGCUUGAGAGAACUCGGGUGAAGGAACUAGGCAAAAUGGCACCGUAACUUCGGGAGAAGGUGCGCCCUUUGGUGUGGUCACGUGCGUGACUGAGCAUCGAAGGGUCGCAGUAACCUGGCCGCUGCGACUGUUUAUCAAAAACACAGCACUCUGCAAACACGAAAGUGGACGUAUAGGGUGUGACGCCUGCCCGGUGCUGGAAGGUUAAUUGAUGGGGUCAGCCGCAAGGCGAAGCUCUUGAUCGAAGCCCCAGUAAACGGCGGCCGUAACAAUAACGGUCCUAAGGUAGCGAAAUUCCUUGUCGGGUAAGUUCCGACCUGCACGAAUGGCGUAACGACAGCGGCGCUGUCUCCACCCGAGACUCAGUGAAAUUGAGAUCGCUGUGAAGAUGCAGCGUUCCCGCGGCAAGACGGAAAGACCCCGUGAACCUUUACUAUAGCUUUACACUGAACGUUGAGUUCUUCUGUGUAGGAUAGGUGGGAGGCUAUGAAACCAGGACGCUAGUUCUGGUGGAGCCAUCCUUGAAAUACCACCCUGAAGUGCUUGACGUUCUAACCUAGGCCCGUAAUCCGGGUCAGGGACCGUGUAUGGUGGGUAGUUUGACUGGGGCGGUCUCCUCCCAAAGAGUAACGGAGGAGCACGAAGGUACGCUCAGCGCGGUCGGACAUCGCGCACUGUGUGCAAAGGCAUAAGCGUGCUUGACUGAGAGAUCGACGGAUCAAGCAGGUACGAAAGUAGGUCUUAGUGAUCCGGUGGUUCUGUAUGGAAGGGCCAUCGCUCAACGGAUAAAAGGUACUCCGGGGAUAACAGGCUGAUACCGCCCAAGAGUUCAUAUCGACGGCGGUGUUUGGCACCUCGAUGUCGGCUCAUCACAUCCUGGGGCUGUAGCCGGUCCCAAGGGUAUGGCUGUUCGCCAUUUAAAGUGGUACGCGAGCUGGGUUCAGAACGUCGUGAGACAGUUCGGUCCCUAUCUGUCGUGGGCGUUGGAGAUUUGAGGGGGGCUGCUCCUAGUACGAGAGGACCGGAGUGGACGUUCCGCUGGUGUUCGGGUUGUCAUGCCCAUGGCAUUGCCCGGUAGCUACGAACGGAAGUGAUAACCGCUGAAAGCAUCUAAGCGGGAAGCACGCCCCAAGAUGAGAUCUCCCGAGAGCUUGACUCUCCUAAAGGCACCAUCAAGACUAGGUGGUUGAUAGGUCAGGUGUGGAAGCGCAGCAAUGCGUUGAGCUAACUGAUACUAAUGAGCCGUGAGGCUUGACC
rnacentral:rRNA from 1 species